GGAAGUAAAAGUCGUACAAGGUUUCCGUAGGUGAACCUGCGGAAGGAUCAUUAUUGUAUAACCGAGGUGCGAGGGCUGUCGCUGACCCGAAAGGUCGUGCACGCCCGAGUGCCCUCACACACAUCCAUCUCACCCCUAUGUGCACCACCGCGUGGGUCCCCCUUUGGCUUGUUCGGAGGGGGGCUUACGUUUUCACACAAACUUUGUAUGCAGUGUAGAAUGUAUUUUUUGUUUUUGCGAUCAGGCAAUCAAUACAACUUUCAACAACGGAUCUCUUGGCUCUC
rnacentral:misc_RNA from 1 species